rnacentral:rRNA from 1 species
GAUGAACGCUGGCGGCGUGCUUAACACAUGCAAGUCGAACGAAGCACUUUAUUUGAUUUCCUUCGGGACUGAUUAUUUUGUGACUGAGUGGCGGACGGGUGAGUAACGCGUGGGUAACCUGCCUUGUACAGGGGGAUAACAGUUGGAAACGGCUGCUAAUACCGCAUAAGCGCACAGCAUCGCAUGAUGCAGUGUGAAAAACUCCGGUGGUAUAAGAUGGACCCGCGUUGGAUUAGCUAGUUGGUGAGGUAACGGCCCACCAAGGCGACGAUCCAUAGCCGACCUGAUAGGGGGACCGGCCACAUUGGGACUGAGACACGGCCCAAACUCCUACGGGAGGCAGCAGUGGGGAAUAUUGCACAAUGGGCGAAAGCCUGAUGCAGCGACGCCGCGUGAGCGAAGAAGUAUUUCGGUAUGUAAAGCUCUAUCAGCAGGGAAGAUAAUGACGUUACCUGACUAAGAAGCACCGGCUAAAUACGUG